ensembl:snRNA U6 U6 spliceosomal RNA
GUGCUCCGUUCGGCAGCACAUAUAAUACUAAAAUAGGGAUACAGAGAAGAUUAGCGUGGCCCCUGAGCAAGGAUGACACACAAAUUUGUGAAGGAUUCCAUAUUUAA